GAUGAUAAAAAGAAGCAAAAACCAGAGCAAAAAUAACAGAAAAGUGGGUAAAAAUGGACCAGAAUUAGCUUGUUUUGGGUCACGUUUCAUUAUAUGCACGCCAGCAAUUAUUUUAUGCCUUCU
rnacentral:ribozyme from 1 species